rnacentral:tRNA from 1 species
ACCUGGCUAGCUCAGUCGGAAGAGCAUGCAACUCUUGAUCUUAGGGUUGUGAGUUUGAGGGCCAUAUUGGGUGUGGAGAUUACUAAAAAAAUGAAGUUAAAAAGAAAGAAAAUAGAAAUAAUGAAAGAAAAAAGAACAAUGACAUAGAAAGUAAAGAUACAUUAAGAAAAUCAACACUGUUGGGGCGCCUGGGUGGCACAGCAGUUAAGCGUCUGCCUUCGGCUCAGGGCAUGAUCCCAGCGUUAUGGGAUCGAGCCCCACAUCAGGCU